GACGAACGCUGGCGGCGUGCUUAACACAUGCAAGUCGAACGGAAAGGCCCUGCUUGUGUGGGGUGCUCGAGUGGCGAACGGGUGAGUAACACGUGAGUAACCUGCUCUUGACUUUGGGAUAACUUCAGGAAACUGGGGCUAAUACCGGAUAGGAGCUCCUGCUGGAUGGUGGGGGGUGGAAAGUUUCGGCUGUUGGGGAUGGACUCGCGGCUGAUCAGCUUGUUGGUGGGGUAGUGGCUUACCAAGGCUUUGACGGGUAGCCGGCCUGAGAGGGUGACCGGCCACAUUGGGACUGAGGUAGGGCCCAGACUCCAACGGGGGGCAGCAGUGGGGAAUAUUGCCCAAUGGGCGGAAGCCUGAUGCAGCGACGCCGCGUGCGGGAUGACGUCCUUCGGGUUGUAAACAGCUUUCGCCUGUUACGAAGCGUGAGUGACGGUAAUGGGUGAAGAAGCACCGGCUAACUACGUG
rnacentral:rRNA from 1 species